UCCGAACUGGUGUAACGGUUAACAUUUGUCGCUCUCAAGCUUUGAGCUGUAGCGCCGACAGGCCCAGGGUUCGACUCCCUGGUUCGGAA
rnacentral:tRNA from 1 species